UGCGCACAGGUGAUGACGGAAUUAAUAUUCAAACAACACGGCGGGUGAGACAUCAGUGGCGUCGACAGAGGAAUUCACAUUUAAAUGUAAGAAUUAAUAUCCAGCAAGCCAAGUGUUAAAAGGACAAUUCUGGAGAAAAUGGGCCUGCUGAGGAAGGAUUGCAAGUCUCCUGGGAUGGGUGAGGGGGUGAGUGGAAAACCCACUGCUGAAACUUGGCCCUUAUUUGUCCUCAUGGAUGAGGUGUUAGGACACAGGCCCUCAAACAACCCCCCUGUCCUAAUUGCUCCAUUCCUGAGGAAACGGCAGGGCCAAGUUCAGCAGUGGGUGACGAAGCUGAGGAGGAGCCAGCACCAGGCAAGAAAAAACGGGGCCAUGAGUAUGAGCUGGUGGAGCUACUCCGAGAAGACACCAAGUUCCAGACGGAGACGGAGGAAAGAAGAGCCCAAGAGAACAGAGAGAGAAUGGACCGACUGUUUGGUCUUCUUAAGAGGAUGGCUAACAAAUAAAUUAACCAUUUUCUCAAGAAAAGAAAACCUAUUUUAAGUCAGUUUGCCAAUGAAAUAGUCUAAUUUCUGUUCAGUUUAUUUUUGUUAGUUAAAAAUGAAGAGUUAUAUGCAUUUAUUUUUGUAAUGUAAU
ensembl:lncRNA